rnacentral:rRNA from 1 species
UACGAAGGGGGCUAGCGUUGCUCGGAAUCACUGGGCGUAAAGCGCACGUAGGCGGAUUGUUAAGUCAGGGGUGAAAUCCUGGAGCUCAACUCCAGAACUGCCUCCGAUACUGGCAAUCUCGAGUUCGGAAGAGGUUGGUGGAACAGCUAGUGUAGAGGUGAAAUUCGUAGAUAUUAGCUAGAACACCAGUGGCGAAGGCGGCCAACUGGUCCGACACUGACGCUGAGGUGCGAAAGCGUGGGGAGCAAACAGG